AAUCAUAUGUCCAUGGCAACAAUCCGCGUGAUCUGACUUCGUUUCUCAGAAAAUUCUUGAGUUCAUUUCUCUCUAUAUAUACCGAUUUACAUAUCGAACAUCAUAGUUUUAAGGUUUUUAAAAAUGUGUAACAUCGUGGUUUUCUUGCUAACUUUGACCUUGUUCUUGUUCUCUGGAUUGUCGAACACAGCAUUUGCCCGAGUGCAAUAUGAACCUUUAAAGCCAAGUAAGUUUUUAUUACGAUUUUACCAAAAAAAAAAAAAAAAAGUUUUUAUUACGAUCAAAUUUUAUAUAUCCAAGUCGAUUUGGUUUUGUUGUAGUUUAAUUUUUUUUCCCGGGUUCUAAAAUAGAAUGAUAAAUGGCUGUUAUUCAAUUUGCUUUGAUACACUUUUUUAGUCUCGAUCCUAUGUUUAGCAAUUAAUAUAAUUUAAUAUAUUUAUUGUUAUUUGAUUUUACGGUCUCUUUUGCAUAUCAAGAAGAAGAAAAAAAAACUGAAUAAUUUUCAUUCUACUCUCUUUUAGUUUUUGUAUUGCUUUUUCGAUAUGGAUCUUAUUCGAUCUGAAUAAUUGUUUCAACUAAUGAAAUUUUUGUCACUUAAGUUUAAAGAUAUAAAAGAUUGAUUGAGCACUGAUUGUUGUUUAAUUUGUUGGGACAGAAUUCGGAGCAAGGGUAUGGGAUCAAAAGAUGAUAAAAAAUAUCAAGAUUGAAGUAGAUGGUAGCUGUUCAAGGCGUGCACCUGGAAGAAGAAGACCACCAAAUAGACCACCAAAACCAUGUACUAAACCCUAGUGACAAUCCUUUAUGUAUGUACAUAUAUAUGUAUAAUUUUAUAAAAAUGACAUCAAGUACUAUAUUAGAUUCACAUAAAUGAUCAUAUUUUUAUUGAUUCUUUGUAUCUAACAUCAUCACAUAAUGCAAGAAGA
rnacentral:lncRNA from 1 species